AGUGAACGCUGGCGGCGUGCUUAACACAUGCAAGUCGAACGAGAACGGGUUAUAGCUUGCUAUAAUUGUCAGCUAAGUGGCGCACGGGUGAGUAAUGUAUAGGUAAUAUGCCUCUUACUAAGGGAUAACAAAUGGAAACGUUUGCUAAUACCUUAUACUCCUUAUUAACAUAAGUUAAUAAGGGAAAGAUUUAUUGGUAAGAGAUUAGCCUGUAUUGUAUCAGUUAGUUGGUGGGGUAAUGGCUUACCAAGACUAUGAAACAUAACUGGUUUGAGAGGAUGAUCAGUCACACUGGAACUGAGACACGGUCCAGACUCCUACGGGAGGCAGCAGGGGGGAAUAUUGCACAAUGGACGAAAGUCUGAUGCAGCAACGCCGCGUGGAGGAUGACACAUUUCGGUGCGUAAACUCCUUUUAUAUGAGAAGAUAAUGACGGUAUUAUAUGAAUAAGCACCGGCUAACUCCGUGCCAGCAGCCGCGGUAAAAC
rnacentral:rRNA from 1 species